rnacentral:rRNA from 1 species
AAUGAACGUUGGCGGCGUGGAUUAGGCAUGCAAGUCGAGCGAGAACCCCGCAAGGGGGGACAGCGGCGAAAGGGACAGUAAUGUGUAGAUUAUCUGCCCUCAGGUCUGGGAUAGCUGCGGGAAACUGCAGGUAAUACCGGAUAACAUCUCCGGAUCAAAGGUGUGAUUCCGCCUGAGGAUGAGUCUGCAUCCUAUUAGCUAGUUGGUGGGGUAAUGGCCUACCAAGGCAUUGAUGGGUAGCAGGUGUGAGAGCACGACCUGCGUCAUUGGGACUGAGACACUGCCCAGACACCUACGGGUGGCUGCAGUCGAGAAUCUUCGGCAAUGGGCGCAAGCCUGACCGAGCGACGCCGCGUGUGGGAUGAAGGCCUUCGGGUUGUAAACCACUGUCAGAGGGGAUGAAAUGCAGGUGGGUUCUCCCAUCUGUUUGACAUAGCCUCAGAGGAAGGACGGGCUAAGUUCGUG